GGGGUCGUUUUGGUCGUUAAAUGGACGCUUAUACCCCUACCUAUCUGAAAUGACAUUUCAGUCCCAGAUGAGCAAAAAGGUUUUGCCAUCAAAAAGGUGUAGUGCUGUGAUUGGUGGACCAGCUGGAGUAGUGGUGUGCCCCAUCCACAAAGAGGGGAGGGAGGAAAAGGGUAGGAUUUGGCUUUGGCACUCAAGCCUAAAGUAGCCAUAGCUACAUGAUUGUGGGACAAUUCUUGUAUUGAUGUUCCGUAUUUAGUUUGUGCCCGAGUAUAUCUCGCAAUUAUGUCUAGAACAAGCUUUCUAUUUAUAAAAUUACUAUUAAGAUAUAUGAAUCUAUACAUAGAUAAAACUUUGCAAGAGAUGAUAUUUAGUGCUCUUUCUGAGUAUUUCUAGUAAAAAGAGUCCUAUAAGAAAUGAAUUAUGCAAUCAAGAUAGCUCUCCUAUGAUAUCCAUGAAAAUCUCCAAUCCUAAAUCUAGGUUUUAAGGAUAGGCAUCAAGACUUGUUGCUAGCAAGCUAAGCUUAAAAGAUAAUUUAAUGUGAUAAAAGGAUUAUGUCACUUAAAGCACUACUAUAGCUGUAUAAAGUUUCAUUAUGUCCUAAUGGUUGAUGGUUGGUGGUAUAUUGUAUUAACAAAUCCGCAUAUGACUUUAUUUAGGGAGAAGCAGAGGUUUGCUUGUGCUCAUAAAAAUUUGAAUCUUCCAUGAUGUAUUUAUCAAUUUUGAGAUCUUAUGGUUAUCUAGAUGACUCCUAGUUGGUGAGAUUGCUCCUUUCCAAUGAGUACAUUAUAGCUUUAAGUCACUUUCAUGGCAACUAAAGGUUUUAAGUUUGUAAAGCAAGGAUGGUGAUUGAGCGAAUUUGUGUGGUAGAGUGUGGAUGUAGGUAUAAGGCUAGGAUGGUGAUUGAGGCCUAGCUUUCAUAUAUUGAUCUAAGCACCAAAAACAAAGGAGAUAUAAAAGUAGUUCAUUUGAAAAGUGAUUUCAGAGUCAAAAGACAAGGAUGAAAAUUUGGAUGCCAGUCAUAGUGGUUCACUACUAUUUCUAUCUCAGUUUUACCAAUAGCGUAACUUUAAAUUAGCUAACUCCAUUGCAACGCAAUCGAGUUUUCAAACUAAUUUUUAUGAAAAGAUUAUGGUCGAAUACAUGUUGCUUCAAUCUUUU
rnacentral:lncRNA from 1 species